UACGUAGGGGGCAAGCGUUGUCCGGAAUCAUUGGGCGUAAAGAGCGUGUAGGCGGCCUGGUAAGUCCGCUGUGAAAGUCCAGGGCUCAACCCUGGAAUGCCGGUGGAAACUGUCAGGCUCGAGUCCGGAAGAGGCGAGUGGAAUUCCUGGUGUAGCGGUGAAAUGCGCAGAUAUCAGGAGGAACACCAAUGGCGAAGGCAGCUCGCUGGCCCGGUACUGACGCUGAGGUGCGAAAGCGUGGGGAGCAAACAGG
rnacentral:rRNA from 1 species